UAAGCGGAGGAAAAGAAACUAACAAGGAUUCCCCUAGUAACUGCGAGUGAAGCGGGAAAAGCUCAAAUUUAAAAUCUGGUGGUCUUUGGCCAUCCGAGUUGUAAUUUAGAGAAGCGUCUUCCGCGCUGGACCGUGCACAAGUCUCCUGGAAUGGAGCGUCAUAGAGGGUGAGAAUCCCGUCUUUGGCAUGGACACACCAGGGCUUUUGUGAUGCGCUCUCGAAGAGUCGAGUCGUUUGGGAAUGCAGCUCAAAAUGGGUGGUGAACUCCAUCUAAAGCUAAAUAUUGGCGAGAGACCGAUAGCGAACAAGUACCGUGAGGGAAAGAUGAAAAGCACUUUGGAAAGAGAGUGAAACAGUACGUGAAAUUGUUGAAAGGGAAACGCUUGAAGUCAGUCACGUCGACCGAGACUCAGCCUUGCCUCGGCUUGGUGUACUUCUCGGCUGACGGGUCAGCAUCAAUUUUGCCCCUUGGAUAAUGGCGAGGGAAAUGUGACACCUUUAUGGUGUGUUAUAGUCUCUCGUCGCAUGCAAGGGUUGGGAUUGAGGAACUCAGCACGCGCCCUUUGGGUGUCGGGGCUUUGCCCACGAUACGUGCUUAGGAUGUUGGCAUAAUGGCUUUAAACGACC
rnacentral:rRNA from 1 species